rnacentral:rRNA from 1 species
GCAAUAGCUGAUUGCAUUUAUUUAAUUUAAUGUGAUUACUACUUGGUAGUUUAAAUUUCUAGGUAGAAUUAUGAUGAUGACAUUAUCUAUCUAUUAGUCUUGACCAAAUUACGUGCCAGCAGUCGCGGUAAUACGUAAAAGACAAGUGUUAUUCAUCUUUAUUAGGUUUAAAGAGUACCAAGACGGUUAAUAAAGCCCAAAAUAAAUGAAUACGGGGGACACAUUAACUAGAGUUAUAUGAAAUGAAGCUAUAAGGUACUGUUGAGUGUAGAGAUGAAAUUUAAUAAUACCAGAUGAUUGGCACAGAUUAAUGCGAAGGCAUCUUCUUAUGUAAUAACUGACGUUGUAGGACGAAGGCUUAGGGUGUGAACAGGAUUAGGUACCCCAGUAAUCUAGGCAGAAAAUGAUGAAUGUCAUAGGUUUAAUUAUUGUGUCUAUAAAUGAAAGUGUAAGCAUUCCACCUCAAGAGUAAUUUGGCAACAUUGGAACUGAAAUCAUUAGACCGUUUCUGAAACCAGUAGUGAAGUAUGUUGUUUAAUUAGAUGAUACACAAGAACCUUACCACAAUUUGAAUAUAUAUAAAUUAUAUUUACAAGCGCUGCACGGCUGUCUACAGUUAAUGUCGUGAGAUUUUGGUUAGCUCCAUAAAAUUGACGUAAACCCUAAUUUUAUUUAUAAAUAUAAU